rnacentral:lncRNA from 1 species
AAAUGACCACCCACUAUUCCCCAAUAUCAAAUUUGUCAGCCGCCAACGUGAUCUUGCAAGGACAUAGAGGUUAUUCAUUUCAAUUGAACUCCAACAAUUUUGGAGUUAUAAGUAUGACCCAAUCAUAAUACUUUCGCUCAACAUAGUCGCAAAAGACCCCGUCUCUCACGCUCCUAAUCCUGAUCGUUCAACUGGCCUAAGGUUUACUAGGUCCACUAAAACUCAACCCUAGGCUCUGAUACCACUAUAAUCUGUCACGCCCGGGUACCAGCGGAAGCAUAUCCGGUCGCGUGCACAGACCCGCCGUGUACACCACAACUCAAGUAUACACAAGGCGUCUACAAACCAUAUAGUAAAAGCAUAUAAUUCUAACCAGGUAAUCAGAGCACGACUUUUAAACUUAUACAAUCCAAACCUUAAUACAUGAAAGAAAAAUAAAGUACAAUUUACAAAAACACUUAAUAUACAUCUCUGUACUAAACUACAUAAACUGGUGGAGGUCGUCUAGUACACGUCCAAAAGGCUCUAGCUAGCCGCAGACCCCUCGCCAAGAACCCUAGCCUUUCCCGGGGUGGAAGGCUCUGUAAAAACAACAACAAAGAGGGCGUGAGAACUAUUAAACAAUAGUUCCCAGUGGGUAAGCCGCCGAGAGUGGCGAAGUACACCACUAGGUCAACUGUGGCAUGAGUAGAUAGCAAUAAAUAAGCGAGUAAAUGCAGAUAAUACAAUAAGCAAUUAUAUGCAACAGAUAUGGAAGUAAACUACUCAUGCUAUUUGCUCAACCAUAAAUAAAUAACAAUAGAUUGCAGGUAUCAGUUAUCAUGAUAGAUUCUAUCAAUCAUAUUACUUGACAAUUUAACCAAACAUAUAUCAGAAUGUAUGCAAGAUAAUUCACUUUACUGAAAUUACAGAUGAUAUCAUGUAAUUACCUUGUUCCAUAGCAAGAAAGAGACAUAAUGUCAUUCAUUAUGUUGCUAACCAAUCAUGAUGUCAACUUCUAGGUUGUUCAUCACUAAGCUCACUUUAGAUGUCAACUUUCUAGUAUGUUCAUCAAUAAGUUCACUUAACCCAAGACAUAUAGUAACUUUACUACUCUGUCCAGCUAAGGUUAAAGUACUUGACAUAACCCAAUUUCCAACGGACUUACACAAGGUAAGUUCAAGCCGCGCCGUGCCUAAUGGCCCCGUGGUAGUCAACAUCCCCACUCUAGGAAUGAGCCUCCCCCACGGCAUUCCAUUUCGGCGCUCACUUCGUACAUUUGCGAGCAUCUGUCGCUAAGCUGUUCGGGAGUGCUGGCUUGGGGGGGAGCGACCCCGCAAGCGUGUGCAAACGCGCACAAUGGCAUGCAAGCCGUAGUCCACAGUACCAGUCUCACAACAACAUCAUGUCCCUGACAUGGAAUCUCAACUCAAGCCACUCCGGAACGCGGGGCUUGGGGGGCGCGACCCCCGCAAGCAUGUACGAAAGAGCAUAAUGGCAUGCUAGCUAUAGUCCAGGGUACAAAUAUCUCAACAGCAUCAUGUCUCUGACAUGGAAUCUCAACUCGACCCAAGGUCGGCACUGUAGUACCCAAUCAUAAGUCACUAUCAACAACUUGUUGAUAAGAUUCUACCAGUCGUUAAUAUAACUUGACAAGUUAAAGCUUUACAUCACACUAGUGAUUCUAUCAGGCUAUACCUGGUCAGUCACUCACAAUCUCUCACUACUCCUUACACAUAAGGAAAGUGGUUCACUAAGGUUCUAUUCAUAGACCCAUGGCACAUAUCCUGUAGUCCAAUAUAAAUCUCUACUUGACUAUACAAGUACGUUAUCAUAUCCAAAUCUAGUUAUUUACUAGAUUAUAUUCAGUUGAAUAAUCAUUCAAGUUAUGCCAUCAUAUGAAAGUCUAGUUACUUACUAGAACAUAUACCAUAAUACAAGUCUAUCAUGUGAAAAUAGAAACUAACAAGGUAAUGCAAGCAAGUAAAACAAGCGAUAAAACACUCUUCACAUGAUCUCUAUGCCAUUCAUUCUACAAUUAGAAAUGCAUAUGCCAAACAAAGGCCUUUACCUGAUCUUUCAGAAUAUAGCAAUUUUACUUGCUAUAUAACAUUGCAUAACUCAAUCCUAAAUACAUUAAUCUCUUUGUUGUUCAACAGAACUAAUUAGUCCAUUCACGAACUUACAUUAUAUCCUCUUGGGUAAUAUCAAGCUAAAAUUGCAUCUGCAAGCUACUAGUAUCAUGAAUCCAUAGUACUUAACAGGUAACCAUGUAGAAUGGACAAGUCAUGAAUCUUUCAUUACCAUUUAAAGAUACUAUCACUUCUGAUAUGAUCUACAUAUCAGUGCAUGUCUCAAUGCCUUAAACUAUACAUAUAUUCACAUGAAUAUGAAUAACUUCAACUCAGAUGUCAAAGGAGACAUAGAGGGAAUUCACCCAUUUCGGGAAGGUCCGACCCACCUAUCACCAAGCUCAAUCCAGCCAAAAGGAGUCCCGAACCCUGCUCAACGGAGCCUCGACGCUGCUGAAAACGAAACACGAAAAGCGCAUCAAAACUACGGCCGAAAUGUCCAAUUUCGGUACAAUUUGCACUUAGUACAAAGUAAUAACUUGAAUCCCUAUUUUGGGUUCAGUUAAUACCUCAAAUUAAGUUUCCAAAAGGCCCUCCAAUGCCAGUCGAAGACAGUCCAAGAGUCAAAUACCCUCUCGCUGCGAACAAUACCGAAACGACGUCAAUAUAGUCGCUUAUAAGCUAUAAUAGUCGAAUUCCUGCAAUUUCAGCCCUCUAACUGAAAUUCUUGCUUACCUCAGGGUAGAACACCUUCUAAACUAGCCUCCCAGGUCACCAGAAGAGCUUAAUGUGAUUCGCAAACCUGCUGGGAAGAGAAAAGCUCAAACUGCAUCAAUUCGCUCGAUUAAUCCGCGUAUAGUCCGAAAUAACUUCAUAAAUAGCGGAACAUCUCUAAUAAGCUUUAAAGUAGCUUAUCCCAGGUCUAAGGAGGUUCAUUCACAGCUAAUUAACUCAUAUUUAAUAGCUGAAUUCUCAGUUUAAGUCAGUUGGAAGCAAAACUCAAAAUCAAUAAUCAAAUCGACGAAUAGAACGCCGAUAACGGAAAAAUCGAGUCGUUUACCUUCUCAAGCUUCCAACCAGUGAACUGCUGGUCCAGAGCUGCGAAAAGCCUUCCAAAACACACUCCCGCACGUCCACGUAAGCUCUGCGACGCUCGUAAACAGCGAAGAACAAGCGCGGCGACGAAAACGAGCGAAAUCGGCGAUUUCGACGUAGAGAGAGAAAAACCCUAGAGAGAGAGAGAAAAGAAGAUGGAAGAACACUCCUCUGAUCUCUAGCAACCUCCACAGAGCUCCUGGAGUCGUGCUGGGUCAAGUAGAUAGGGAUCAAGAUGUGAAAUGACCAAAAGACCCUUGCUGCCACGUUUCUGCCAGUCUGUACCGGUACAAGGUGAUGGCUGUACCGGUACAGCAAGCAGAAAAAUGCUGAUUUCGUCCAUUCAAUGCACUUUCUUACUUUUAACCCUUCAAUCACUCUCUAACUUGUCCAAAAACUUGUCUAAGCCCUUUAGAAGAUGUAGGGUAGUUCCACUUACCAUUUCCCGCAUUCGAACUUCGCGAUUAACCAAUUUCGAAGCAUUGCAAUUGAUAAGGCAUUUACGAUGCAAUUUUCCAAUUCCAGUUACUUUCUUACUUCAGUAACGUGUCAAAACCUUUCUAAGGUCUAUCAAAUGUCGUAGCUCAGUUCCAAUAGCCAUUGCAACCCUUGAACUUGUCAAUAGGCCCAGAUUCAGUAUAUUACAUUCACCCCUCCUAAAUAAAAGUUUCGUCCGCGAAACUAGAACUGAAUCUUCAUUCGAAAUCAUCUAAAAAGGAUGGAAAAGUCAUUCCAUCGUUGUUCAUGAGUUCAUAUCACUGUCUCGCCAUAAAAGCUCUUCUUUCAUCCAUAGAAUCCAUGAUUUUUAAUGGAUGAAAUUCUAUUUCAACGUUUUCAAUAAUUCGAGGGUAAACUCCACCCUUCUCAUCAUGCUCAUCUGCAGGGGUAUAAUCAUUCAUUCGAUAAGAAGAAUUCCAAGGGUACCCUUUGUUCAAUAGUGCUUAGUAGUUACAUUUGGUACCUAUCCUGAGUUCCAAAGAAUUAUCAUAUAUUAGCAGUGGAAUUCUCAAUCAUCCACUGAUUCUCAAAAGUCAAAACUCUUUAAAAGAUUGCACUCCCAGCGCAAUUCUAUUCCAAGAGGAAUUCAUUUCCUAUUUUCUCAAAUAGGUUGAGGCUGAAGCCCAACUUGUCUCAUCUUGAUUAUAUAAUUAGAGCGUAAUCAUUCCUUAAUAGGCUUCCUAGGUUACCUCUGAUAUACAACUUGUGUUUUACAAGGUGAUCAAAUACCAAUGAUUACUUUGCAUUAUCCAGCAGUCAUAACUUUCUCAUACAUCUUGUAGUUACUAUAUUCCUCAAUUAUAACUAGCUUGAUAACGAACUAGUUAUUCCUGGUAGUCCCCUUUCAAUAGCAACUGAAAUUGAUUAUCCAUCAAUCCAUUAAAGGUGAAUUCCUAAUUCACUAUUCAGCAUUAUAUUCCAAUACCUUAACAUCAUAUUCAUUCUGCCACUAGGCGACAAAGUCAUAUUAAUGGAUGUUGCUCCAUGUUCACGCAUAUUCUCAGACAAAUUCCAUUUAUGUUGUCUCUACAGCUUUACUAUUUUCUUUACACCAAUCAUAAAGUAAAUCAUGACCAUUUCAUUAUUGAGAAAUUUUCCUCACAUAUCCAAAUUCGAUUUCCACUCAAUCCUAAGCAAGCUCAAGUUAGAGCUUUACUUCUGCCAAAAUCACUUGUGGCAUCACUAUUUGAUCCUGUAAGUAGAUCAGUUUAGACUUCUUGAUACUGUUCUGAGAGUGUGAGGCUCAAAGUAUUCAUUGUCCCAAAUCCAAUUUAGGCAAUAGAGGGGAAUUAAUUUGUACUUCACCCAUAAGUUCUCUAUUGCUGUUACACUACAUACUUUUCCAUAAGCAGGGAAGAAAUCUGAACAAAGCCUUUCGUUAGCCCACAAUUAGAGCAUCAUCAUUUGCUUCCCAUUACACUGGGUUUACCCUGAUAUGACCAUUAUGAAGCUUAGUUCCAAUAUUCAAAUCAUACGAGAAGGAAACAAGUAGCUGGGUCAUUUCUUUCUCAAUAUUCCAAGAUGCAUAGUGCCAUUAGGAGAGUCUCAUCUCAAUCCUUUUAAUUCAUCUUCCUGGUCAAUCAUUAUCUGCCUUGCAGGAUUCACCGAACAAACAACUGGAUAAAUCCUUCAUAACCUUUUUCUAUCAUAGAAGACUGCAGCUUCCUCAGAUUGCUACUCAAUCUAUAGCAUGCAUCCAAUACUAAAGGCUGAUCAAAAGAUCAUCAGAUCUUGACUUAAUCCAACCACUAAUUGUGUUUCUAAUUGAAAUCACGAUAUUCGACACAUAGUCGAAUAGCUCAUCUAAUCUCACCACAAGUGAAAUUACUUCACCAAAAUGAAGCCCUAAGCAUAAAACAUUCUCUAUUCAUCAAGUUCACCAUUUGUGACUUGUUUAGGAAUAGCACAACCACUACUCAAGAACUACCUUUCACUUUGAGGGUUCUUACAAUUUAACAGUAUCAGCCAAUUAGGCUCCAACCUUUCUAUAAUUACCUAAUUUAGGUAAAAUGACCAUUCUCGCAAUCAGCGAGGCUAAACCCUUCAAGAUGCAUUGCAUAAUGUUCAAAGUUCCAAGGCGAAUCAAUUUAGUUCGCACAAACCAUGGUAUAAAGUAUCUCCCAACUAAAUUUCAAUCCAAACCUACAUGCAUUAAGGAAGGAAAUAAUGCUAUUCAACUCGGCCAACAGCCGAUCAGAGAUGCAACUAAAGCAAUCAUUAUGAUCAUAUCGAAUCAUAGGAACAUUGCAUAAAGUACUACCUGCAGUAGUUAUCUCUGCCGUCGUAUCUGACUCUAAGAUUCCGUCGGCGUACCUCCACUGGGUACUCUUUGCAACAAAGUCGGUGCAGAUACCUUAGUCAACAUGUUAUUUCUGGGGCACUCAGAGCGAAAAUGGCCCUCCUGACCACAUACAAAACACUUUCCUUUCCGCUGAGGACACUUUGGGGGAACAUGCGGACCUCCACAAAUUACACAUAGCCGAGGUAAUCGUCCACUCAAUCUUCUUUGCUUAGAAAAAGAACCACGUUUCCAAGGUUGAUUCUUCUUUAGUUUCCUUGAUGAUUCCCCGACAUGUAGUUGAUCGCCCUUGGUAGCCUCUUUGGCUCUUUCAGUGUAUUCCACACCUUUUCUCACGGUCAAAGUACGAUCCGAAACCUCGUGGCAUUUCUUGAGAUCAGCCGUCUGUUGAAUCAACAGGGUCUCCAACCGUCUGAUUCCUUCAUCCUGUCGGCGCAAAGCCUCGGCUUGAAGUAGCGUCACAUUCGCUUGUCGCUCCACCACUCCAACUAGAGUAGCCAGCUGCUCUUUUAAUUCCCGAAUCUCGCUAAAUUCAGAAGGUGCACGUCUUUCGGGGUCGGAUGUCUCAGUCGCCGUAGGGUGCAUCUUUGACAUUGCAAGCUGCAACAAACAAAAUAGGCACAGGUUAAAACAACCCAUGCUAUCGUAGCCCCACUCAAAAUUGUAAAAUCCCAAUCAUGCGAAAGUAAUGAAAUGACCGCCCACUAUUCCCCAAUAUCACGUUGUCGGCCGCCAACGUGAUUUUGGAAGGACAUAGAGGUUAUUCAUUUCAAUCGAACUCCAACAAUUUUGGAGUUAUAAGUAUAACCCAAUCAUAAUACUUUCGCUCAACAUAGUCGCAAAAGACCCCGUCCCUCACGUUCCUAAUCCUGAUCAUCCAACUGGCCUAAGGUUUACUAGGUCCACUAAGACUCAACCCUAGGCUCUGAUACCACUAUAAUCUGUCACGCCCGGGUACCAGCGGAAGCAUAUCCGGUCGCGUGCACAGACCCGCCGUGUACACCACAACUCAAGUAUACACAAGGCGUCUACAAACCAUAUAGUAAAAGCAUAUAAUUCUAAC